GGGCGCAUAGCUCAGUUGGUAGAGCAGCUGACUCUUAAUCAGCGGGUCACAGGUUCGAAUCCUGUUGCGCCCACCA
rnacentral:tRNA from 1 species